UGGAAUCUUUCAAAAUGUCGACAUAGUUGUCAAAUAUCUGUCAAACCAUACUUUGCUGUUAGAAAUAUGUAAGGGAACUUUGGUUAAUGCAGUCCAAGGUACAUUAUUCUUAAAUAAGCAACGUUAUAAUUACAGCUGUGAAAAUCUUUAUUGAGAUUCUAUCGUCAAUGAGGAUAGAUUUAACGAUAAACACGGUAUAUGGCGUAGUGGUUAAGAGUGCCGGCUACUAACCCCAAGACUCCGAGUUCGAUUCCGGGCAGUGACCUGAAUAAUAAUAAUAAUAAUAACAACAUCGAAAAAUACCUUAGGAAUGAGAACCCAGGUUGGAAAUUUCCCCAAGACACCUGAUGAAGGCUGGAGGGUGUAUCAUCCGAAACGUUGUAUUAACGACAAACAAGAUGAGGACAAAUAUCCGUCGAAUGUAUGAAAUAAUUUUGGAAGCAGGAGACAAAUCACAGCAUAUGAACUAUGUCUCUUCACCAACAAUGUGUCAACCAUAAAACCAUGGGCAUAUAGGAACACUAGCUUCAAGGUUUUAAUCAAUUCAAUUAUAUUUGCAUCUUGUCCUACUUAUUGACAUCAGAAAUUGGAAAACCAAAAUCAGCUGUGGCAGGAUUGCAACCCUAAACAGAAAUAUUUUUUUCAAGGGUCUGUAUUUAUCAAGUUCUCUAUUAUAUUUUUAGGUUCUUCAAGUUCAGAGAAAUGUCUUUAGAUCCUUGGUGGUAUUUUCAAAUUCUGUAUACCUACAAAAUUCAUGUACAUACAUACAUACAUACAUACAUACAUACAUGCAUAGACACAGACAUACAUAUGUAAGUUCAUACAUACAUAUAAGCAUGCAUGCAUACAUACAUACAUUCAUGCAUGUA